AGAGGUCCCGCCUGCCCAGUGACUUUGGGUUUAACGGCCGCGGUAUUUUGACCGUGCUAAGGUAGCGCAAUCACUUGUCUUUUAAAUGAAGACCCGUAUGAAUGGCAUCACGAGGGCCUAACUGUCUCCUUUUUCCAGUCAAUGAAAUUGAUCUCCCCGUGCAGAAGCGGGGAUAUUUUCAUAAGACGAGAAGACCCUAUGGAGCUUUAGGCUCCAAGGCAGACUAUGUCAAGCACUUUAAAACAAAGACUUAAAACUAAUUAGCCCCUGUUCUUUAUGCCUUUGGUUGGGGCGACCGCGGGGAAACAAGAAACCCCCACGUGGACCGAGAGCACAACCUUUUUACUCUCACAACCUAGGGCCACAACCCUAAGUAACAGAACUUCUGACCAACUCUAUCGAUCCGGUCCCAAGACCGAUCAACGAACCCAGUUACCCUAGGGAUAACAGCGCAAUCCCCUUCUAGAGCCCAUAUCGACAAGGGGGUUUACGACCUCGAUGUUGGAUCAGGACAUCCCAUUGGUGCAACCGCUAUUAAGGG
rnacentral:rRNA from 1 species